GUCUGACGGAGCAACGCCGCGUGAGUGAUGAAGGUUUUCGGAUCGUAAAGCUCUGUUGUUAGGGAAGAACAAGUGCGAGAGUAACUGCUCGCACCUUGACGGUACCUAACCAGAAAGCCACGGCUAACUACGUGCCAGCAGCCGCGGUAAUACGUAGGUGGCAAGCGUUGUCCGGAAUUAUUGGGCGUAAAGGGCUCGCAGGCGGUUUCUUAAGUCUGAUGUGAAAGCCCCCGGCUCAACCGGGGAGGGUCAUUGGAAACUGGGAAACUUGAGUGCAGAAGAGGAGAGUGGAAUUCCACGUGUAGCGGUGAAAUGCGUAGAGAUGUGGAGGAACACCAGUGGCGAAGGCGACUCUCUGGUCUGUAACUGACGCUGAGGAGCGAAAGCGUGGGGAGCGAACAGGAUUAGAUACCCUGGUAGUCCACGCCGUAAACGAUGAGUGCUAAGUGUUAGGGGGUUUCCGCCCCUUAGUGCUGCAGCUAACGCAUUAAGCACUCCGCCUGGGGAGUACGGUCGCAAGACUGAAACUCAAAGGAAUUGACGGGGGCCCGCACAAGCGGUGGAGCAUGUGGUUUAAUUCGAAGCAACGCGAAGAACCUUACCAGGUCUUGACAUCCUCUGACAACCCUAGAGAUAGGGCUUUCCCUUCGGGGACAGAGUGACAGGUGGUGCAUGGUUGUCGUCAGCUCGUGUCGUGAGAUGUUGGGUUAAGUCCCGCAACGAGCGCAACCCUUGAUCUUAGUUGCCAGCAUUUAGUUGGGCACUCUAAGGUGACUGCCGGUGACAAACCGGAGGAAGGUGGGGAUGACGUCAAAUCAUCAUGCCCCUUAUGACCUGGGCUACACACGUGCUACAAUGGACAGAACAAAGGGCUGCGAGACCGCAAGGUUUAGCCAAUCCCAUAAAUCUGUUCUCAGUUCGGAUCGCAGUCUGCAACUCGACUGCGUGAAGCUGGAAUCGCUAGUAAUCGCGGAUCAGCAUGCCGCGGUGAAUACGUUCCCGGGCCUUGUACACACCGCCCGUCACACCACGAGAGUUUGCAACACCCGAAGU
rnacentral:rRNA from 1 species